rnacentral:rRNA from 1 species
AUGGUUAAGUUAGAAAGGGCGCACGGUGGAUGCCUUGGCACUAGGAGCCGAUGAAGGACGGGACGAACACCGAUAUGCUUCGGGGAGCUGUAAGCAAGCUUUGAUCCGGAGAUUUCCGAAUGGGGAAACCCACUGCUCGUAAUGGAGUAGUAUCCAUACUUGAAUACAUAGAGUAUGAGAAGGCAUACCCGGGGAACUGAAACAUCUAAGUACCCGGAGGAAGAGAAAGCAAAUGCGAUUCCCUGAGUAGCGGCGAGCGAAACGGGAACAGCCCAAACCAAGAGGCUUGCCUCUUGGGGUUGUAGGACACUCUAUACGGAGUUACAAAGGAACGAUAUAAGCGAAGAGGUCUGGAAAGGCCCGCCAAAGAAGGUAACAGCCCUGUAACUGAAAUGUUGUUCUCUCCAGAGUGGAUCCUGAGUACGGCGGAACACGUGAAAUUCCGUCGGAAUCCGGGAGGACCAUCUCCCAAGGCUAAAUACUCCCUAGUGACCGAUAGUGAACCAGUACCGUGAGGGAAAGGUGAAAAGCACCCCGGAAGGGGAGUGAAAUAGAUCCUGAAACCGUGUGCCUACAAGUAGUCAGAGCCCGUUAACGGGUGAUGGCGUGCCUUUUGUAGAAUGAACCGGCGAGUUACGAUCCCGUGCAAGGUUAAGCAGAAGAUGCGGAGCCGCAGCGAAAGCGAGUCUGAAUAGGGCGCAUGAGUACGUGGUCGUAGACCCGAAACCAGGUGAUCUACCCAUGUCCAGGGUGAAGUUCAGGUAACACUGAAUGGAGGCCCGAACCCACGCACGUUGAAAAGUGCGGGGAUGAGGUGUGGGUAGGGGUGAAAUGCCAAUCGAACCUGGAGAUAGCUGGUUCUCUCCGAAAUAGCUUUAGGGCUAGCCUCAAGGUAAGAGUCUCGGAGGUAGAGCACUGAUUGGACUAGGGGCCCCUACCGGGUUACCGAAUUCAGUCAAACUCCGAAUGCCGAUGACUUAUCCUUGGGAGUCAGACUGCGAGUGAUAAGAUCCGUAGUCGAAAGGGAAACAGCCCAGACCGCCAGCUAAGGUCCCAAAGUAUACGUUAAGUGGAAAAGGAUGUGGAGUUGCUUAGACAACCAGGAUGUUGGCUUAGAAGCAGCCACCAUUUAAAGAGUGCGUAAUAGCUCACUGGUCGAGUGACUCUGCGCCGAAAAUGUACCGGGGCUAAACGUAUCACCGAAGCUGCGGACUGUUCUUACGAACAGUGGUAGGAGAGCGUUCUAAGUGCAGUGAAGUCAGACCGGAAGGACUGGUGGAGCGCUUAGAAGUGAGAAUGCCGGUAUGAGUAGCGAAAGACGGGUGAGAAUCCCGUCCACCGAAUGCCUAAGGUUUCCUGAGGAAGGCUCGUCCGCUCAGGGUUAGUCGGGACCUAAGCCGAGGCCGAAAGGCGUAGGCGAUGGACAACAGGUUGAUAUUCCUGUACCACCUCCUCACCAUUUGAGCAAUGGGGGGACGCAGGAGGAUAGGGUAAGCGCGGUAUUGGAUAUCCGCGUCCAAGCAGUUAGGCUGGGAAAUAGGCAAAUCCGUUUCCCGUGAAGGCUGAGCUGUGAUGGCGAGCGAAAUUUAGUAGCGAAGUUCCUGAUUCCACACUGCCAAGAAAAGCCUCUAGCGAGGUGAGAGGUGCCCGUACCGCAAACCGACACAGGUAGGCGAGGAGAGAAUCCUAAGGUGAUCGAGAGAACUCUCGUUAAGGAACUCGGCAAAAUGACCCCGUAACUUCGGGAGAAGGGGUGCUUCUUAGGGUGUUAAAGCCCCGAGAAGCCGCAGUGAAUAGGCCCAGGCGACUGUUUAGCAAAAACACAGGUCUCUGCGAAGCCGUAAGGCGAAGUAUAGGGGCUGACGCCUGCCCGGUGCUGGAAGGUUAAGAGGAGCGCUUAGCGUAAGCGAAGGUGCGAAUUGAAGCCCCA